UUUCAGAUGGCAGGACUAGAGAUUAUUAAAUGGAGUCUCCAGGUGGUGGCUCCAAGUAUGCAAAAUGAGUGGUGUCCAUCAUUUCUUCUGAGAUGCAAGUUGUGAUCUGACCGAUCUCCCAGCACUGGCUUGUUUCAGUGUUCAAGAGAAAAUGAGUAUGUUCAUGGUUUUUUUUGUUUUUGUGGGGGAGAUACAAAGAAGGCACUUAGCACUACAGUGGAACCUGUGGUAUGAGAGCUGUUCUGAAGCUGCAGAAAGUCCUUGCUUUCUGGAAUAGCAAGGAAAAGUGCAAAUCCGUUUUAGGGAGGCCUAGCCUUCCUAUAAAGAAAUCUGCUGAGUGUGAAGCCAUGGAUGCUCUUCAGAAUAAUUUGUGCAUUGCUUCUGCACAUUCCACCUGCCACUUUGGUCAGUGAGGAACUAGUGAAGUGAAGAGAAAAUGACAAGAAGUGAUUUGGAGAAACAAAACAAAGGAGAAGUAAAGGUAAAAGGAAGACUGACAAAUACAGGAUGAAAAGUGAAUUGAAAAGGACAAGUUCAAUGAAAGAUCAGUUUGGCAAACAGAAAUAGGAAGGACAGAUGAAAUUGGCAAUAAACGAAGAGAAAGUUAUGGGAGUAAGGGUGAAGAAUUUUUGUUUGGUUGUUUUAGCUAUGUUCUAAAAGCUCCUUAAAAUCUUCCAUAUUAGUCGUUCUGCCUUAAAUGAUUUAGGUGCUGGAGAACUGCUGGCUUAUAUUUAAGCUAUUUUAGUUCUGUCAUUGGAGAUGGUUCAUGGGGGGUAGUUGCUGACAAGUUUUGAAUAUAAAGAAACAAAGCGACCCAUAAGUGAUUAAUCUUAAUUGUUUAGUUGUAAAGGGGCAGGAUUUUCAGCUGGUUAUUUUUCUUUUCAGGAUACAACUGUGUGUGUGAACAGUUGUUUCAUUACAAUUCAGUUAUCAGAUGGGGUAAUCAGACUGAGAAAAUAGCACUCUUAAGAGGCUGGAAUGGAUAGAGUAGGUUAUUUGGAAGGGGGGGAUGCACGAAGAUAUCUAGUGCAACUGUCUGACCACAUCAUGGCUAAUGAAAAGUUAAAGGAUAUUAUUGAGGGCAUUAUCCAAAUGACUCUUGAGCACUGACAGGCAUGGGUCAUCAACCAUGGGAAGCCUGGGGAACUGCUGGGAAGUGUUUGACCCCUCUCAUGGUUAAAAAAAAAAAAAAAAAAAAAAAAAAUCUUUAAUCUGAACCACCUCAAUGCAAUUUUGUGCUAUUUCCAUACAUCUUGCCAUGUGGAAGAUCACAGGAAGAAGAUUUCAAGCUGGCUGUCUCUUGAGCCACGCUAGCUAUAUCUGCAAAACAUAUUUUGUUUAUGACUUACAAGGAAUGUCCUAGUGAUAACAACUCAAGAUAAUUAUAUGUGCUUAAUAAAAUAUCUGAGGCAUAUCCUCCUUUCCUUACUGACCAUGCUGCAGAAAAGCCUUGAGCUGCUCUAGAGAAAGUACUGAGUCCUUAUGUUUUAGUGCUACUGCAGCCACAACUUCAUAAAGGGUUUUAAUGCUCCAGCACAGAAGAUAACUUUCGGGAGAUAGAGACGAAUGAGUCUUCCUGAAUCCAGGAGCCAAGCUCCCCAUGUGGAGAUGCAUGGCAAAUAUGUGAGUUGCUGUUGCCCUGGAGCUACAGCAACAGCUGCCAAGCAGCUGGGCUGAGCAGGGAGGACCUCUGAUGUACCUUUUCAGCAAAUUGUCCAUUUAUUUUGAUUCUGCAUAGAGUUUAGGAUUUUGGCAAGAGGAACUAUGGAAAAGACAGAAUGGAUUUAGGAGAACAUGGGAAGCACUGGAAAAUUCAGAGAUACCACAUACUAUAAUCACAAACAAGUCUAUAUGAGCUGAACCCUGGGAUGAUAAUAGACUUGGCAGUCAAUUUCUCUGAACCUCUUCCACUUUCUAAAAAUUUGCAGAUAACUGAGGCAAGAGGGACAAUUGAAAAACUACGGGAAUGGUAUUGGUAUUUGGAUCAGUAGCGCAAAGAGUUGAGCAAGGAAAAUAUGUUUGAAUGAAGAAAUUCUUAGCGAAAUUUAACCACAGGAGGGUGCAGUUCUGCAUUGGGAGCUUCAUCUCAAGGAUUCCUAUCACAGGAAAAACAUUGUGGAACCUAGAAAAGAGCAACUUAAUUUUGUUGUCAGGCCUGUGUGACAGCCUUAUGAGCUGAUUUAAGACCCAUCAGAACUGGAGACUUCCUGUGUGAAUCUAGAGCCGUGUUCUUGACCUGCUUUCACAUGGUGUGAACCUUUCAGAGAUCUUGAUUGGAUCGUGAACAAUCCAGUUGUGAAAGGAGAUGACAAGGAGUAGAGAAGAAACUCUGAGAAGAAUCUGGAGAAUAGGUAAAUAUUUUAUGUUCUCCCGACCACCACCAUCUACUUUGGACACCUUUCUAGGAAGUGCUUUUGUGAAUGGCUCGGCUGGCAGAAUUUUUCAUGGAAAGAGCUAAUGUUCAAUACAUUUGUAUGUUGAUGGUGCUUCUCAUCAAAAACCUGUAUCCAUAACAGAGAUCUGAGAAUGGAUAAAGUACAAGACAAGAAAACGAAGUGGAAUAGAUAAAUGAUGGAAGAGUAUUUUGGAAAGAAACUACUGAGAAAGCCAUGCAGAGACACGAAAAGGAUGAUCAUUUAAUAAUUCAUAUAAGCGUUGUCACGAUCAAGGGAAGAAUGCGAUUCAUUUAAAUUUGGAAGAGAAUCUGAGUGACUGCUUUGCAUCAGUAAACUUCAGAGUGCUCUGUAAUUCAUCGUGCUCAACAGGAAGAAAAACAAGUUGAAGAAAGUGAAUAUAUAAUGCUGUUAGAACAGUUUUGAAUUUAGCUGAACUUUACUCUUCAGUUCACUGACUGGUGUGACAUUAAGAACACAAGAAAGCAGCACCCAGAGUGCUAGCCUUCAACAAUGGUUACUGUAGUCCUCAGAGGAAAGGAUUUGAGUGCUUACUGGGAGGACCAGCACAGCUUCUUCCCAGGAGAUCCCGUAGGCCACAUGGGGACCAUAAGAUAAGGAACACACAAUCACGUAGGAGAAGUCUGAUUUAAGGGACCCCUGUGACUAAACACUGACAGUAUAACACAGGAACUCUAGCAGAUGUGAGACUAAAACUUAACUCUUCGAGUGUUGUCUGUAAAAAAGCAUAAUGCAUGUAGAAGUGUUUUAUUCAAACCAGGCAUCUCGUGCAAGAUUUUAAACCACAGCAAGUGACCAGCAUGCAGAUGGCAGUAACAGACCAUUGCCACGUGACUGGGGCUGAUGGAGCUCAAGGAAGAUGCUGGGGACCUUUCGUUUGACUCAUGUUCAUCCUCUGCGCUGUAUGAUGCCAGGAAAACCUUCUCACUUCUGCUUGAGAGAUACAUCAGAAGAGGAACAAUCUGUUGGGGUCUGCUGAAAAGAAAAAGGAGCUGACUGUAUUGUGGGGUUCAAAUAGCUGUAAUCUGCAGGCAGAUUUUAUUGAUUGUUUCCCUCCCUUUCUUCCCUAGAAGCUCAGCUUUUCUAGAAGAGAGUAAAGGAUGAGGAGUUAUGCUGACAUUUGGAAAAGGGCUAGGAAGUUGACCUGUGUUCAACAUAUCUGCCAUAAAUGAAUGCUCACCAUGAAGUAGUGCACCCACUGCAAGCAAUGCAGUGAAGUGUUCCAGGGCCAAGAGAGUUCCGUCAUGAAUUUAAGGAAAGGAAUUACUUCAUCCAAAAAGGUCUGGACACCUUGAAACAUUCUGGUAUCUCUAAGGAGGAGAUGAUGCACCUUAGGGCUGCCUUGACCUUGCCUGGGGCUUGAUGAUCCUUGAGGUCCCUUCCAACCCAAGCCAUUCUAUAAUUCUAUAGGGCACUUUCACAUUCAGCAACACCAGUAGGAUGCUUGUUCUCAGACGGAGCAAGUAACCUAUGUAUUGACUUGGAAAUUGAGUGAAUAGCUGCCUAUCUGCUGUCCAAAAGCUCAGCUAGAUCUGGUGCAAUACCGUAGACUUUAACUUGGGGCUGCAUGAAUAUUGUGUCAUUUGGGUGCUCACUGCAACUUGGAAGAGAAGAGGAUAUCCAGCACCAUGAGGACAGAAAGUUUCCUAAGGCCAAGAAAACCUUAUUGAAAUGAAAGAUUUCAGCAAAAUAUUCCAGAUUUGACAACUUGGUAACGUCCCUUUCAAAUGAACAUGGAAGAACAUGCAGAUGAAGUCAAAUCUCCGUUGACUGGUUUGUGACCAAUGGGACAGACUUUCCAGGAAUCCUUUCACCUGCCAGCUGCAGGAACUAUUUCCCACGUGAUACUGAAAUUCAUACAGUAAGAUGAGUGCCUGUUCUUUGCUUGAAAGUCAGAACAUUGUAAUUGUUUUGAAGAUUAAUUUGUUCCAUUCCAAUCAUCAUUACUUUCCUAUCUAUUUCUUUGUUGAUUAUUUAGUGGAAUAUUUUCUUGAUACUCAGUCUGACCACUGCAGUUUGAUUAAUGUUUUUACGAAAAGUAGGAUAAAUAUAAGUAGAGAUUUCUUUAAAAGGAAUACGGUUGAGUAGAGUGGAGAGAGAAAGAUUUUAUAUAGUGCAAGAAAUUGAUAACAAAAUUGACUACAGGAAAUACUGAUCUCUCUACGUUGUGGGUCAGUUCUUAAAACAUUUGGUGCAAUUUAUUGCAGUUUAUAGCAAUUGCUGUUCUCAUGCUAAGCAUCAUUGGCAUAGGUGAUUAUCUGAUGGAACUUCAGAGUUUCUGGAUUUCCAAAGUCUUGACUCUAGUAUUUUUUUUCAUAAUUAUUGUUUCAAAGAAACAGCUUCAAGGAGCAGGGUCUCUCUGUCUCUAUCUAAAAGAUGGCCUGGGUAUGCUUUCCUUUGUGUCCUGUAUUCCCACUAGAUUCGUUGAUCUUUCCUUGGUUGACCACAGAGAUCUUCUAGUUCCAACAUGUGAGUUUCUAUACGGACCUACAGAGGGAUGGGGAACAUCCCCACCCUAUCCUGCCAUACAUGGUCAGGAUAAAGAACUGUAUUAACAGUUAGUAGGCAUGUUGAGUUACAGCAGUUGAAGACAUACUUUAGCCAUAUAUGUAGAAAGUUUAAAGCAUCACACAUUCUCUUCUCACUAUAGCUUUGCUUUAAUGUUAACAAAUGCAUCAUUUAAUUGAUAAUAGCUGGUGUUCAAAGCUACCAUUCAGGGCUUAUCUGCACUUUAUUAUUACUGUUUUUUUCUGUUUUCACUCCUCAAGUAGCAACUGCCAGGUGGAAAUGUAAAAGUAAAUAAAAUAAUAGAUUGUACCUGCAAAUACAUGUGGAGCAUGUUUACAAAUAUGGAAAUGACUGCUGGACUGCUGGCAGUUGGUUAAUGAAAAGUCAAACUCUUUGGUAAACACAAGUAUUUACCAUUUUGAAAAAGCAUUGUAAGUUUGGAGGAAGGAGCACCUUUGUGUUAGUAUUAUCUGUAGCUUUUGGGAAGAAAAAUAAGAUACACAGUGUUGUUUACAUUUUGUUUCAGUCACACAGUGAUCAGACAUGAGUCAAACCCUUUUAAACAUAUUUUCCUGACUACAAUGUACUGUUUCAAAGGGUUGAAGAUAUUAAAUAUAUCUUAUAUAUAUAUAUAUAUAUAAUAUAUAUAUUAAAGAUAUUUCAUGAAGUUCUUAUUUCAUGGCACAGUUACAAGUAGAUAUUUCCUUCUUCAUUUUCAUAAUGUCCUUCCUCUUCUCACUGAAUUAAAAUGGUGCCCUCUAGAAAAACAGGGAAGAAAAUAUCUUGCUGUAGAAAUGGGCUAUGCACAAGCACUUAGACAAAAUCUGUCACAUAGAAAAUACAGGAUCCACAGCAACAAAUCAUGUCCAGAAGAAAUUGGUAUAAAUAAAAUAGAUAAAUUUAUUUAUAAAAUUAGGGAAUAGGGAAGAUAAAAUUAGGGAAACAUUUGCAAGGGUAGCCUACCAGAGACAAGGAGGUGUAAAUGAAUAGAGUUCUUUUAAACUUUUCCCUAGUAGUGCUAUUAUUGUUAUUACUAUUACUAUGACUACUAGUACUAAUACUACUAUUACUACUACUACUACUAAGUUCUAUCCUGGAGUGCUUAUGCCUUGAAGUAUAACAGUUCUAUCCUGGAGUGCUUAUGCCUUGAAGUAUAAUAACUCUUCAGAAAAAGAUAGAGAACAAUCUAGAUUUUAGCAAUACUUUCAUGUAGUUUUAAAGUUGUUGCUUAUGUUCGUAGUGGCAGAAAUCUGCAGACUCUGAGGGAAAGUGUCAGCAAGAGUUUGCGAGAACAUAGGUAUAUGUCUGGGUAGUAUGGAAUGUGAAGUCAUGCAAUAGGUUUUCAGAACUGUCACUGCCCAGAAGAUCCACAUGCAUGUGUACUAGGGGCUGAAAUCUAUUGCAUCAACAAGGGCAAAAUUACAAAGAACCAUAACAAAAAGUUUUAGAUAGUAGUUUUUUUAAUAGAAAGAAAUUAUGUAGGUAUUUAUAUGAGGAAAAGCUGCUAAUGUUCUGCUUGGGCUGACAGGGAUAAUAAGGGUGGUAACAGUUCUAAGCACCAUUCAUAGAUUGGGGUUGAGUCUCGCUAGGAAGUGAAGGAGUAAUGUAACUUGGGCAGACCCAUAGGAAAGAAGAACAAAAAUCUUAACAGAGACAGGGAACCAGAGAGAAGGGAAUGUACACGAACAAAGCAAAAACUCCAGGUUAAAACAGCUAGGUGUCGGAAUUAGCAGUAUCCAUGAGAGUGAGAAGUAUCUAUGGGAAAAUGUGAAAGAAGAUGAAGGGCAAAAGAGGGAACAGAAUGCAGAAGUGGGCUGUGAAUCAGCAGCACAGAAUGACCAGAGCAAUAUGUGAGAAGGGAUAAAAUAGUAGAAAUUAGUGGUUUGAUGUAAGGAACACUUUCAGCAGAAUGGGGCCAAUGGACUAGAAGAUGCUUAUAAUGGCUAAAUCAUAGGUUUUGCAGAGUACUAUUACAGCAUUUUGACAGUGCUCAAUACAGACAAAACUGAACUUUCUUUGCUUUCUAAAUUGCAGGUAAUGCCAUUAAUUAAAAGUCUUUUUUUAUAGAAAGGGGCUAAGAUGCUUAUAUGUUCCUUUCAAACAACCAUCUUCUCCCAAAUCUGAAUCUCUUUCUCUGUAAUUUUAGCCUGAAAUGAUAAAGAUUUGAAUAUUUAUUUAUUUAUGAAAACAUAUCUGUGAUUUUUAUCUUGUCUGUUCACCUUGUUUUCUGUAUCUUAUUAUUUCUGUAUAACUUUUGACGCUGUUAUUCUUCCAUCAAGUGCAAAUGCACUUCAUCCUCAGAAGAACUGUAGAUUAGACAAAUAAUUUUCUCUAUGAAAAAGCAGAAUUGAAGAUGCAAAAUUAAGUUUCGUUAAAAGUUCAUGUACAGAGUGAGUUCUUGAUUUCUAAACACUGAAAGUGGAUAUUUCAUAUGGAAUUCAGCGAAUAGUUUCUCUUCAGUUCUUUUAAGCAUAUAAUGAUUCUUGUGUUGCAUAAGUGUUGGAAUUAUUGGCUCCCCUGCCAUGCCUUAGCUGAUGUCCUGUGGUUCACCUGGCUUGAUUCAUGCUAGCAAUCUCCAAAUCCAACAACAGUGCCCAAGUUUCAAGCAAAACAGGUAAUAUUUUUUUUCUAGUUAGCGCACUUUGCUUGUCUAUUAUGGGGAAAAAAAAAACAAAAACAAACAAACAAAAAACCUAAACCAUAAUGAAAAAGAAAAACAGUUCUGUACACUGCUAGGCUAGAAAUACUAUGAGAAGCUGUUGAUGUAUGGGGCAAGAACUGUCAAAUCAGAAGGCACAUCCCCUUAGUGAGUCAUGGAGAUUUGUUGAUUAAAAAAACAUUUAAGUACAUGUUAAUGAAAUGUUUUGUUUCACUGUGAGCCUUUUAUUAUACCAAACCACUAGAAGUUUUCUGCACUUUUCUGAAGUCCUGCAGUAAAAUAUGAAGUGUUGGGAGCAACUUCUUGAAGAUGCAUUCUCUACUUAACCCAGUUCUGCUUGAGAAUCUAAAAAAGAAUCUAAUCUGUAUGAAUGUUAUCUGAGAGAAGUGAAAAAAAAACCAACCACAUUCCUCUUUCAAACUGUUUUGAUGUACUUCUAUCACAUCAUUCCUUCCUCAUCUCUCUUACAAGCUGAAGUAUCUUAUUUAAAAUGUCCUCAGAUGAAGGAAUUCCUAUUGGUAAUCUUUCUAUUACCCUACACUCUUCCUUUACAGGUUCCAUCAUACCUUUUUGGCGAUGAAAAGUACUGGAUGUAGUGUUCUAAAUGUCUGCCCACCAUGCAUUUAACACGCUUCUAUUUUCAGUGGAACACCUCCUUUAAAACUAUUCUUUGACAUAUCCACGUGUGAGGUUGGGGUAAGAACACUUCUAAAAUCUUUUUGCUGAGUACUGUGCUUUCGCUGUGAUGUCUUUUAAGUUUCCGUUCUGUUUACAAGCACCUUAUUCUUCCACUGCCACUUUUAUUUUGGCUUUAAUGGGCUUAUUUAUUUCUAUGCAGUUCCCUAUUUCCAGACUCAGUGCUGCAGUUUCUUUUUUGCUCUUACUGGGAGGUUGAAGAUUACCUUGUUACUAUAGGAUGCUUCUUUGACAAAGACUUCAUGAGCAGAGUUCGUGCUCAUCCAAGACUACACCGAGGUUACUGUCUUUUUCUGUGGGGAGUCUUGACCAGAAUUUUCAUCAGUGUCAGUGUUUGAUCUUUUUGCUGAUGCCAACAUUCUGCUUCAGGUAGUGAGAAAAGCCAAAGGCCUCUGGACUGGUUUCUUGUCUAAACAGAGGUUGCACGUGAAACAGCUCUGUUGUAGUGUGCAGUCAGUCUGGUCAUGUGAAAAUGACUUGGAAGAUGAUGGUUGUCCAAACAGCCCCAGCUGAUUUAUAUCCUCUCAUAGCUGUGAACUGAUACUCUUCAGUAGUUGCUUUGCUAGCCAUGAUUAUGAUGUAGCACAUGGGCAUGACGCAUAUGAUGAAUACUGAAGAUACAUGUACAAGCUGCAUGUAGUCCAAGAGCCAUAAACUAUUCCUCCUGACUUUAGAGGUAAGCUUUUUUGUCCUUGGGACACACUUGUGGCUGUGGCCAUCGAUGAAAUGCAUUUUUGUAUCCCUGCAGGCCAGUAGCAAUUUUUAGCCCUUUGAAAUGUGAAGGAUAUUGUGACUCCUUUACUGAUAGAUCUGUUCUUGGAUUGUCCCCUGGCUUGGAUUAUUCUGUGGUAGAUAAAAAAUAUGACUUUUUAUAGGGCUGUGAGUUCCCUAAAUCAGGAAAUAUCUUUUCUGAAUAAUUGGACAUCACUUAAUAGGCAUCACUGCAAAUGCAUUAAUAGUGUAACACCCUCUACUUCAUCCUUUUGACCUCAUCUACAUCAUGUAUAUUUAUUCUUUCCCUGAUAAAAACAUUAACCUCUUAUCUUGCCUUAGGUUCACAUAUUCAUUCACUAUUUGAGAAAACAGAGAGAGAGGAAGGAAGGAAGGAAUGUAGAGGGAGAGGGAGAGAGGGAGGGAUAAAGGAAGAGAGGAGCUUUUAGCAUUCUGUAGCUGAGCUGCCUGAUGUAAUGUGUUAGAGGAUAUAGGUGCCAGUAAUGUGCAAAGAGCUUGAAAAAUGACCAGACAGUGCCAAACCCACAGUGCAUGUUGUCAAGAGGGCUAACAGUAUAAUAAAUCAACCUGUCUCGUGUCAAGGGUCAGGUGGUUUGAUGUUCAAAGCUUUUCGGCCAGCCUGAUCCAGCCAGGCAGAUGCUAUUCAUUUCUGAGCCUCCAGCACUAUUAUGAUACUGGGAUCACCAUAAAGAAGUGCCAGCCCUGUGGUUCUUUGGUCUUUAAGUCAAGAUCCCAAAGGGGAAAAUUAUCCAGGAGAAGAGAGCAAAGUGCUGCUUAGUUUCAAACCUUAUGCUUUCCUCAUAAUUAUUUUUUCAAAGCAGCACUGAGAAAAGCAUGGAAAACCAUGUCAGAUGGAUUUUUCCUAUGCUUUCUGUAUAGGACAGUGAUGCUUAACCUUUUCUUAUCUGAGCAAGCCAUAUGGGCCCACCGUGAUGGGUGGGGACAACUGGCUCUGCCUUCCUCUGUUCAUGUGACCAUGUACCUACUCAAAAGAAAUGUCAUAUUUUGAGUAAGUGGAGGAUGUGAAGCACAAUAUAAUUAAACGAUCCACUCCAGUCACAGCUACUGUACCUUCCUUCCGUGAUGUUUAGAGGGGCUAGAGGGAGGAGACCCUGCCUCUGGCCUGCCAAGCUAGAAGGAGGGUCUUUCCACAUGUGUCUUACACUGUGUCUGCAGGGCUGGAUGAGUGCAGGGAAUCUGCUGUAGGCAUUGCAGGCCAAUCUGAAACUUACAUGUUCAGGAUCUUUAAUUAGCUUUGUUAGUUGGGAAUAUGCAAGGAGAAAGGUUAAAGCAGCAAAUCAGGCUAAUUACAGGCAGGAGGUCCCAGGAGUUCAGAUCAAGUGAUCUUCCCUGGCCCUAAGAGGGAAGCAGUUAACACUGUACUGUCUCUGCCAGUGCCACAGGGCUGCUGUUUUCCCAGUCUUUGGGCUUUAAGAGUGGUAACUCCUGCUUCCUUCAGAACGCCACACAUCUGCAACUGUAAAACUGGGGGCUCUAUAGGCACCAACACAGUGUCCCAAAUUAUCAUAGAAUGGCUUGGGUUUAAAAGGACUCAUCUCUUAGCAAAUUCAUUUCUAAUAGCCUCUUCCCAUUGUUGUAGAAACACUUCUGCACAUUUUCCCCCUCUCCAGCUACAUCAUCAGUGCACUGUUAUUUCUAGUGUUAUAUAAAUUAGAGUCCAAAAUAUUGAAACUAAAAUGUCAUGGGGGAAGUUGGGUUAAAGGAGGCAGCUGAGGUACUGAAACAUCCAAGUGUCAGAGGCAAACUGACAUGAGGACCAAUAACAUGGAGCAAAAAUGCUGGUAGACAUGUUACACAGCAAGUGAUUUUGUAGCAGAUAACAAAUUCUAGAAGAGUAGUUGGGUGAAUUCUGUAUCAGCAGAUACAGAGGAAAUUUCAAUGAUAAUCUGUUGUUGUCCAAAGAGCAAGCAAAAAUAAAACACAUCAGAUACCCAAAAGAAAAUCAGAACUCCAACCCAAAGAAUCCAAAACAAUGAAUACCCAUCAAAACUAUAAAACAAUUAGAUUCAAACAGUGUCUACAGGGAAGAUUUGGUGCGAGUCUUAAAUGGUAGUAGACUGAAUUUGGUUAGUUUGUUUCCAGGAUUUUUCUCAGAGAUUUGUUAACUCCUAUGUUGGAGGGUUAUUUUGCUCAGAGGAACAAAUGUGGGUAUGAUGUAAGUCAUAACCAUAUGUAUUUUGUUUUAUCAUUUCAUAUAUCCUGCGUGGAUAUUAAUUCCACUGCAUGUUUCUACUUUUUUUUUUUCUUCCAGAAAAUAACUCCCCUCACCAAGCCCCGAUGAGUACAGUGGUUGUCUUUUCUCAAAAAGGAAUAAGUCACAAUGAUUCUAUUUUUUUUUUUGUGUGUGUGUUGUUGUUUUUUGUUUGUUUGGUUGGUUGGUUUUUUUUACAUACCCAAAUCCUGUGAAGGACUUCACCAAAUGAAGGUCAGCAGUUGUUGAAGUACUAGUCUGGCAGUAGCCAGAGUCUCCUGCAUCAACAACAUGGAACUAAGUCAACUUUUACUAGCUCCUUUCCCCAUCCACAGACUGCAUGAUAAUGCUUGAAGCCUUUAUAAAUGUAUUUGGGCAAUGUAUAAAAUGUCAUUUGUAUGAGUAAGUGAUUAUCAGCAGAGUGCCUCUCUGAAGGAUCGAAGUGUGAGACAAAAGACAAAAUACAGAUUUGAUCAGUUCAUGACUAUAUGUACAUAGUUAAGAUUUACAAUAUAAAGAUUAUUUUUUCAAAUUAUAAUGCCUGUCAAAUUAUAAUACUGUCACCGUUAAGAGUUUCUGAAAAUCCCACCUACAUAUUCCGGUAGGAAAUUAUGCAAAGGCAAAGUGUUAUGACAGGGAAGACUGCUCUAUCUGCAGUAGUUUUAGGCAAUGUAAUAAUAAAAAUAGAACAAUAGAUUGUAUCAAUAGAGCAAAGAAACAAACAGUGAAGGCAGAGGUCAGAAAGGACCACUUGAUGUAAAAAUAAAAUAUAUUCUUCAGCUAUAGCAGUUAAAUCAGUACUUGUGAUAGCAGAGUUGGACUGUAUUAUCAAGUCAAACUCAGACAGUGAGCAAGGGUAUCAUCUCAGAGACUCAAGGGGAAAACUAUGGAUUAGAACAUGGAAAGAAAAUAUAAGGGAAGAAAAUAUUCAAGGUGUGAAAAACUAUUUCUGCCAGUGGUUAACUGAGGUGAAAUUUUUUGAGGUUUCCAUCCUUCCCAUUGAAAUUUGAGGCCGUCACUACAUGAUAUGUUGUCUUUGGCAGCAAAGCUGGCUAGAAAGUUCCCGAGAUCCACUGCCAUUUCAUUGCUACAUGUGUUUGUUAAUAAAUGCUUAUGUCUCUGCGCUGCUGACAGGUGACUCAGAUGGUAUGCAGUCAAAACAGCCAUUCAAAACUUUUCAGUCUGAAAAAACAAAGGCUCUCUGACCUGAACCAGUUUAGAAUUUGAGGUAGUGUUGUAGGCCACAACACGAGCUUCAGUGAUGAACCAGGAUAGCAUCUGGUAACGACAGGAGAUUUGUGCAAUCUUCCUCUUCAGUAGUUCCACUCAUACAGGUAUAUUUAUAGUCUUUGGGAUAACAAAUCUCGUGCAUCCUGAAAGUAAAUGCAUAGUCCCCAUCGAGUAAUAAAAGUACUUGUUUGUAUAUAGGGAAAUAUAUUGACUGUAAGCAAUUUUUACUUGGUAAGGGGGGAAUUGCCACCAAUAAAAAAGAAUUUAUUCAAGAUUCCUCUCAUGUCAGGUUGAUCAGCUUCACAGAAUGAAAGUGUUUUGUUGUUUCUUUCAGAAAAUGCAUGUGUGCAUGUUCAACCUGAUAUAGAAUAACAGAAUAAGAAAAGUAAGAGACAUUUAAGUUUUCAAAAUGCUCUCAACUAUUAUUAUAGCUAGUACAAUAAAUAUUCCAGUGUUCUGAAUAAACCUAAUACAGCUGUUCUUCCAUUCAAUUUGUGCUUGUUGUAGCUAUGCUUACUUAAGCUAUCAUAAAACAAAAUACAAAUGCUAAUUAAUUAAGGGUUGUACAUUACAACUAUUGACAGUUGUUAUGGUUCUUAAUGUAGUAGCUGUGGGUAGUGUUUUCUAGAUCUACAAGAAGGGAGUGAUUGCCAUCAAGCAACCUAAAACUAAGCAUGGACUCUGCAGCACCUUGUACACAGUCAGGCAAAAGAACAUGAGGAUUUUCAGGGCUAUUCGACAGCUGAGAUAAAGUAAAGAAUAAAAUCACCACAAGAAUUCUUAAAAAUGCAUUAGAGCUAUUUCCUACAGUAUUUUAAUGGUCUUAUGAUUUUCUUGAUCAUUUUAUUUAAAUAUUUUAGUGCAAUUUGUUUUAGUUUGUUUUUCAUGCUCCUAAUCCUUUCAAGAUCAGGUGCUGAGCAAUGAGGAUAAUUGGGGAUUAGUGGCUGGCUGCUGGUAUUAACGCACUGAGUUAUAAUGAGACAUCUGCAAUAUUUUUCCAGUGAGUAACAGCCAGUUGACCCUGUAGACCAUGGGUAACGAAGAGCAGAACUGCGCAUUUUGUGGCCGUCAGCAGCAAUGUGGGGGUGGUAUUGUACCCAGUGUAUAUAAAGAUAAAAUAUUUUUCCAUUCCUCUAUGGUCUUGUCUUACCAAAUUAUUCAGGGAGCUGUUUGCCCAAGCAGCCUUUUACUGCACAUUGUGUGGCGCACUCCAAACAGCAAUUAUUUAUGUGAUUUAGUACAAUAAACAGAUAUUUUUGUUACUGAGCAAUGUUAUGAUUUGCUACAACAAAGCAAAAACUUGCAGGUUUCUGCCCAGUCUAGGGAAGGGAAAGUUUGGUGACUAUGGGGUUUUCCCAUCUUUCUCUCAUUAUGCCCUUGUUUUCCACAGGAAAGUGACCCAGAGCAGAGGGAUAAAAUAACCUUUGUAUCCUCUUGUACCUGAACAGCAUGAGCUGGUCUGGGGAACGGUCAGCUCUGCCCUUCAGACUUCAAUUGCAUCCGGCCAUGUAUGCUAUGCAGGUUUCUUGUUCACUGGGUGAUCUUGAAGUGGCCUUGCUAAAAGCUCUCUCUGCCAUUUCCAAAGGAGAUAAAUCUACCUAGAGCCCUGGGAAGCAGAAUUGCUCUUCUUUUUGAAGUGAAGGACCAGUGGUGAACUGGCAAUGAUCAUGACAGUGCCCCUCAUUACUCCAGCCCUCAGCACAUGAUCCCAGGCGACAUGCACUCUAUGCUCUGCUGAGGAAGAUCACAGCGAUCUUGAUAUGAUGGCACAGGACAAGAAUACAUAGACUUGGCUGGAUCAAAAGCAAUGUGCUGAGACUCUACAUCAUCUUGGUGCUUCAGGAGACUAAUUUCUGGACUAAACAGUCUUUGAAAUGAUUCCACAUCACGAGCUUCCGUCCCCACCUUAGUCAAGUCCUGUGAUCACCAAGGCAGACAAAGACAAGCACAGAAAACUGAGGACAAAUCAGGAGCUUCACAGACUGUUUUUAAUUGGGAGGAAACAAAAGAAAAAAUAUCACAAUUUGUACAAGAUGGUGAGAUGGACUCAUUUUAUGAGUAAUAAAAUAAACUUUGGUUCUCAUUUAUUCUAAUUGUCCUGAAAGAUCUUCUAGAGGCAAACAUGAGAGACACAAGACAAAUUACAAAAUUUUCAUCCCUAUCACACAAUUUGUCAUGUUACAGAUAUCAGCAAAGAACUAACUUGACUCUGCCUUUAACGCAGGUCAUCUUCUAGAAGUCAUCUUAUUAUGCUACAGUUUUUAAGUUGGGCUGCCCAAAUAGUCUCAAUAUUUUACUGGUAUUGAAGGAAAAAAAUCUCAUGCUAAAUAUAGUGGAAACAAAGCAAAGAAAUAGAGAAUAAUAAUAAAAAAAAUACCACCAGUCCCAAAGAGUCACUGAUUUUAUACUGAUUGCAUCUAGACUGACUUUUAAUGGUCUGAGUCCAGGAUUCCAUUAGUGUUUAAUAAAUGAUGGUAAUGAUAUCCUACCUAAACAAUGCACACAGAGCUCCCAUUGACUUCAACAUGAGUUCUCGGUGCAGACUGAUGGCAGGAUAUUCCUGUGACAGAGAUGAAUUUUCCAUUAGAACAAAAUGAGGAAGACCUGUCUCAGUCAGCAGAAUUCACAGCAACAAGAAAUAUUCCUUGGGGGCUCAGUGAAAGAUGGCCAUCCUGAGUGGUGGAAAGUAAAUUGGGUGGGAAACUGUGAGGCAUACUUGGACAGUUGUAAAACCAAUUAAAACCAUCAUGCAGUUAUAUUGAUGUUUAAUUUGUAUCAUCUGGAAACCACAACUUCCUUUCUCAUCACACCAUGGGGGAAAUUGCUGUUCUUUUUUAUAUGAAGGCAAAGAGUGCAUUUAAUAUUGGGAUAGAAGAGAGAGUGUGUACGUCUAGUACUAUGUCUUGAUUACCAACUUUCACUCAGAAUAGGGAAAGGAAAAAUGAAAUGCUGUUAGUUAUAAACAAUGGAGAACCAUUACCCAUACAGAAAUUUGGGCAACGACACAAAGAAUUCAGCUGAACGUUUUCCUUCAAGGAUUUUGUUAAAAAUACAGUCAAUGAGUUGAUGUGAAGUCAGCUUUGCAUGUGGCAGAGAGGCAGCUAAGUACAACAGGGGCAGAGAGAAACCUCUUUUGGCAUUGCUUUUAUUGUGAAAAAGGGAUAUAUUUUCUGCAAAAAAAAAUAAUUUUGAUUUUGUUAUCAAUUUCUUCUCUUGGAAGACUAUAUGUUUCACUUGAAUAUUUGGGUCAAAAACACAAAACUUUCAACCUUUUCUAAGGUAUUCACUGAAGGGAAAAGGAAAAGGAGUUAAUAUAAGAAAACACAAGUAAUUCAAUUACUUUUUUUGAUAGAUGUUUAAUAACAAUAGAUUGAUGCUAAAUGAACAUGUAUAUUUCCAGGAGCAAAUAUGUAAUUUUUGGAAUGCAUCUUAGAAAAACAGGAUGUAUUUGGCUGGGGAAAUACCUUUGCUUUUUAUGAUAUAUUAAUGAUCUUAGCAAAAAACAUCAUGUCUUAGAAUAGAUGAUUAAAAGGAUGAAGAAAACCAGCAUCUGAGUGAAAAAUCAAAGGCAAAAGUAAUUGUAAGUAAGAUGGAUAGCCAGAAAAAUAUCUCUUCCUUCCCCAUUAAGUUGUUAUGCACUAGCAAUGCAUACUACAGGAUCAGGAUAAUUAGGAAAUCCCAUUAUUUUGUAAAAACCAUUUUUGGAUGGGCAGAACUGAGGUAUCUAUCUAAUAAGUGUGGAUUUUUUAAAUGCAAAACUGUCAGUUCAUGUCUCUACAGUGGUGCAAAUUAGGCACCCAAAAUCCAGAGUGGCUUUUCAGAAUUUUGAUCUGGAUUUCACUCCAAGCUCCUGGAGAAUUGUACUUUUUAUUUAGUAAGAUUCUCAGCUUUUAUUGCUCUAAGAAGUGAUCUUGACAAUUUUCUUUUUCCACUCACAUUAUGGCUUUUACAUGGCCUAGUGCAAAGAAUAUAAAUAUUGCUUGAGCUACUUAUAGGUGCAAAUGGAAAUGUGAAAAUAUUUAUGGCUGAAAUGAAAGUAUAAUCUGUAUUGCUUAAUUAUGAUAAUCCAGGGAAAUUAUUCUCACAUAAUGCCCUAUAAAGCAGUAAAAGGAAAAAUAGCUAGCUGCUCUUUUUUGUUGCUUGCUUCAGAUAGGUCCAGGUAAGAUGUUAGUAAACUUGCAUUUCAUGUUGACUAUCUUGUUUAAGCUGUAUGUUGUAAAAGUAUAGUACUCUAAAUUACAAUUUCUAUUGCUUGCGAAGUGCUGGGAGAAGGCAUAGAUUUCAGUGUAAUAUCAUUCAAACUAAUCUCUGAAUCUGUAGGAAUUCUUGUUUACUUAUUUGUAAUUAUUUAACAUCUGUUGACUUUAGGGUCAUAAAGUUAGUUUAUAGAGUUUAAGAAAGUUUUAAACAGAACCAGAAGUUAUUGCUAGUCCUUCUGGCUGCGAAGUUAUCUUCUUAAUAUAAAGAAUCACUACAGCUAAGUUUAUGGAGUAUGUGGAACUCAUUAAAUUUUUUGUAAAUAUCAAUAGAUUAGUCUUGCCUAAUGUGAAAUUUGGAAAUGUAUGCAUUUAUUGUCAAUUCUUACUUUCAAGUAAGACAGAGAUGGAGAAAAUAAAGUAUUAUGGCUUAUAGAAUCUACAAGGUAUUUCAUCAGGCUUACAUAGCAGGAAGGAUUGCCAACUGUAAGGCUUCAAAGGACUUUCUGAAAAACAAAACAACACAACAAACAUGCUUUACUAACAACAAAAAAAGAUGCAGUGUGUCUUUCCAUGGUGCUCUGUUUUACCCUGUUGGAUAGCUAACAGGAGAGGCAAGCAGUAAAUUUUCAUAUGGCUGGUGAUUCCAAAUAGCUCUAUCUCAUUGCUGCUUAGAUAUCCAAAUGACAGCUGACUCCCCUGACAGUCCCAGUUUUAGGGACUUGGACAGGAGUUCCUCUCUUCCACUUGGUUGUGUACUCCCAUGGUUCUUGGAGAGACUCAGUAUCUUCAGUACUUCUAACACUGUGCCAGAAGUAGCUGAAGCUGGCAAAAUGAUUCACAAGCUACUGAGGGAAAGAAGUCAGACACAGACAACAUAGACUUUAUUUCCUUAGGAGACCAGCUGAAAUCAACUCUAUCUUCAAUCCCAGAUGAAAAGUGGUGAUGGCUCCUAAGGCUGAAUAUGAGCUCCUUGAAGAAAACUGACACUUCCUCUUUCCAGACUAAAUGCUGUGGUGGUGCUGUCUCUCAGCCAUUUCAAACUGACUUGAAACCACACUGCUCCUGAGAGCCUUUUCUUCCCUCUGCUGCUUCACCUGCACUGGUUCUCUAUAUGUUUCUUUGGUGGCUGAUCUCACUGAGAACUGUACAUGCCAAUCAUCAAACUAUAGAAGUGAGAAUGAGCUGGCAAUGGCUUCUCACUUUGCAAAUUAUUUUGCUUUGUUUUAAAAAUGUGUGGAUUAAAGUAUUAUUUUGAAGUUAGCUGUCUUAUGGGACUGCUUUUUGUAACUUCAAAAAGAAUAAAGAUCUGGCAGUUUGGCAUUUGGAAGAAAACAAUGAGUUACCCUUUCUGUAGUUUCAGAAAGGGGUACAGGCCUAAUUUAUCUUCCUUUGUGCACAGUGGAAGAGCCUGUAGAACUACUGUACUGAAAGGACAUUGACUUCAGGGCAUGGUGAAUUGUGCCCUAAAUGAUUAUAGAGUCUCUGACCAAAAUUCCAAUCUCUGUUGCAUGGAUAUUAAUUUGAGAAUAUCUCCACUUCUUUCAGUAACCAUUCUGGCUGUAGAAGUGAGAGACUGAAAAAAGUCGAGUGAGUCUCUGGUAUUCUCAAUCUCACUGAACACAGAAACCACUGGCUGAUGGCACUGGUGGUGCCUCUGUCCAGGUCCUCACUCCUUCCCAGAGAAAAGAGCAAGUUAGUGACUGCAUGGUGCUGAGCUGCCUGCUGGGCUUAAACCACAGCACAACUUCUGGACAGAAGAGAAAGAUUAUUUACCUUUGCUCAUUUUAUGUCCUAACCUUUACCUGCUGAGUGGUGCAUUUCAUUAGUAACCACUAGCCCAUCACAGAGGGUCCGUUUCCAUCACAGGCUUGAGAAGGGAAGCGGCAGGUCUCUGCUUGCCUCUCUCAACUUCUUUUGUUCUACCAACAGCAAAUUCCAGGUCAUCAUCAAGAGGAAUGGGGACCACUGUGAAAAGAAAAGGUUAGAACUCCAGGUGGCAAUGCUUCAGGGAUGUAACUCCAGUUGACACAGUGAUGCCAUAGAAGCCUGGCCUUAGGAAGAGACACUGAUUCUGCGAAUCUCUUGGCAGAAGUUUGCCUCAUGAUCAGCAUACAUAACUUUCUCAUCUUGCUUGGUAUGUAGUGGAGCUUUUCAUCAUCAAGAGAUGGAUGGCAAACGAAGAUGAGACAUUGGGCUUGUGCACCUGCUACCAGAGAAGAAAGGUAAGGAGGACAGAACAGAAUGGGAAUGCUGGAUGUAAAUGCCACAGAAAAAGAGUUGCUGUCCCUGGUGCUGACGAAGAGGUUGGGUGUGUCACGCAAAUGCUACGGGGACUGCAGCUGGUUUGCAAACCAGGCAGCAGGGCUGAGGCUAAAUCUCUCAAGCAGAGAUGAGUGCAAGAAUCAUAGACUAUCCCAAGUUAGAAGGGACCCAUGAGGAUCAUCAAGUCUAACUCUUGGCUCCACAGAGGACCACUCAAAACAUAGACCAUAGGAAUGAGAGUGUUGUCCAGAUGCUUCUUGAACUCUGUCAGCUUGGUGCUGUGACCAGUUUCCUGGGGAGUCAUUUCCAUGUUCCAUGUAAUUGAGAGGACUUAAAGAUGCUGAGUGCCUGGAUACUCACCUAUCACACCCUUUACAAGAGUUAAGCACUGAAAAGCAGGGAAAAAACAGUCAAUGAUAUAAUAAAUACUUACACUUACCCAUCACAAACACAUUACUUCUAUCAUGUGAAAAGACAUUAAUUCUCCUUUGAAAAACAAGUACUUUAACUCAUGGACAGUAGACUUUUAAAAUAAAAAUAUCAUUUUGCCAUCAGGUAUACUUAAGUAAUCAUAAGAGAGUCUCCAUUAAUAGGCUUAGGUUAAAUAAUUUCAUUUGUUCAGAAAGAUUUUGAAAAACCUUGAUAAUAGAAUGGGCCUGGUCUUCAAAAUGAGUCAGAAAAAGGAUGUUUCAACUGAAGUAUGACUUUGUCAUACUUUCCCUUUUUAUUGUAAGUUUUGCAUAAACAAAAUGGAGUAUUAGGCAGUUUGUUUCAUAAGAUUAUUGAAAUUUGCUCUGUUUUCCCUUUUGUCAGAGCUAAGUAAUUUGAUACCCAAGAUUAUAUCAAAACAUAACUAUCUUAAGUAUGAGUGUCUGUAUUGCUGUGAUUAUCUGUAAGACCUCACACAUUUUUGUCUUAUUUGUCUGACAAAAAACUCUAUCCUAAUCACAGAAAAAAAGAAAUUAUGCAAAAUCAUAACUGUCAUUUAAAUCUGAGUUUUUCAUUUUGGUGGUUACUAAUGUGAAGAAAACGUUGAGUUGUUUGAAUAAAUUUGUAGAGACUAAGGUAAAACACUUCCAAAGGAUAUGCAUGGUUCCUAUUAAUCUCAAUGGUAUGUAACUUUGAUAUAAGGUAAAUUAGGUACCGCAAUUUAGCCUUUCUUGCAGAAUAAGAAAGUUAAAAAAUGUGUAUCAACAAAACUGAUAGACAUAACAUGAAAAAGGAACAAAUGAAAAACACAAUUAUGCUACUAGUUGUGGAAUUUGUCUGUAUGUCUUCAGCAUACAGGAGAACUAGAGAACAAAACAGGAUUAAAAUACCAGGUACACAUAUAAAAAUAAAGAGAAAAUUCACUACUGACACAAAUGUGAGAUACAAAAAUAAAAAAUAAAAAUCCCAUAAUUGUCCAGUAGAAGUGUUUUACAUUUGUUUUCACAUUCCUCUGAUUCUUGAAAUAUUAGCUAGGACCAAUGCAAGUUUCAUGGAUGACAACACCUGUAUAUGAAAAUUCAAACUAAGCUUUUAAAGAAUAAGAGACAUAACGGAAAUGGAGGCUAACCUGUCGCAGAAUUUAAAAUCCAGCAAUUCUUAUGACAACCUCUAACUACCAAAAUUGUUCAACAGAAGGAUGAACACGUAUCUUCACAGAACUAAAGAAGAUACUCCGUCUAAAGCCUAGCUACACAAAUGUCCAGAAAUACUUCUUUUUUUUAUAUGUUUGUCAAUAACUUGUUCUUGUUGAUCUCAUUAGUAAGAGAAAAUUAUAAUCACUUUCACAAAAACCAUGAACCUGUUGUUGAAACUAAUGUGAAAAAUUUCCAGAUUAAAAAAAGGAAUCUUAAUUUGCAUUAAUUAUUUAUUCAAAUGUAAUUGGUGAUAUAGAAAAUUUAUCAAGGUAAGCAUAUCUCUUUGCAAUUGAAAAGUCAGUAUUCAGAAUCUCAAUUUGGAACUGCCACUUAGUAAGUAAUCUAUCAAAUAAAACCUACAAAGAACCCAACACAACUAUUUAGUCAAGAAAUUUAUUGUAAUUAAAGGGCAUAAUUAUUUUGGAGGACAUUAUAUUCAUUACAAGUAACCAUUUAUAAACAUUCAUAGUGUCAUAAAUCAAUCCCUCCAACUUAUAUUUUCACUUAUCUGGAAGGUUAAAAGGUUAAUGUCAGUCAUUCCUUUUGUUUGUUUAUAAUAAUUCCUUUUUCUUUUUUUCUUUGAAGAUCUUCACUCAGAAGUAGGGCCCUAAAUGAUGUACAUACUUGUAUAAUGUAAAAGCAUUUCACAAGGUGAAUAAGAGCAGUCCUGGGACUAGAGGAAGCCCAUAACAUAUAUGGCUUUCCAGAGAAGACGGAAGUUCUCAUUCUUGACUUCUACCCUUGUAAUUGAUGAUCAAUUGAUGAUCAUGAAUCUAAUAGGACUUGUUUGGAGGUGAUUUUAUGCUACAAAAAAUUAAUUUGCAUAACUCUAUGUAAUAGAAUAGCAUUACAUGUCUGUGUCAUGUGCGUUGAAAUUUAGGGGACUUCUUCAUUUAAUGAAGACUUCUGGGAUAAUGACAACAUUGGGCUUGGUCACAGGUAACAUUUGAGCAUCCACUUCUAAUGAAAUUUGACAUACUGAAUUAAGUGCUUUGUUCCUAAUGUUAAAAAAAUGCUGUUCUCUACACCCAAUGGAAGUAUGAAAGAGAGGGAUCCCCGAAUCUGCCUCCUGAGUAAGUAUCUAAAAUUAGGUUUUGGAUAUGAGCAUCCAUCAUGGACCACCAACCUCUUCGUUUCUUUGGAAACACUGGAAGUCUUAUUACUUAGCUCUUCCAUAUUGAACAAGUGCAUUUGCCCUAAAAAUGGGAAAUAUAGGUUUAAUUCCUAUCUUAAUGGUCAACUGGAUACAAGUCUUCAUUGCAAGUGGACCCUGCACCUUACACUGAACUAUACUAGUAACGUAGAAACUUCUGCUCCUUCCUAUUGACACUGCUCUUCAAGAAUGAGAAAAUGACAGGUCUGUAAGUAAAACAGGAAAGUCCCUGAUUAUCUUCACUUUACCCUUUAUGCAUUUUUGCUUUUAUUUUUUGUUGUUAUAUGGCUAUUAUUUUUUAUAUUCUUAUUAAAUAUUGCAGGGAACCAUGCAAAAAACUUUUAUUUCUGAGCGCUCUAAUCACUUGACUACAGAAUCAGCUCAUUUAAUAACUGAUUACCAGCAUUUCUGAUACAAAACAAUUGUUCCAACAAGAGCUGUGGAGGAGUCAUUUGUUGCUAUCCAAAGAAGUUCAAAAUGAACUUCUCGGACUAUGUAAGUACUCUCCUGAAGCACAAUGUUUAACUUCCAGGGACUACAGCACUGUUUGUCAUUAAGACUAAAAGUCUGUUUUUAGAGCCAACCUUCAAAUCCUUUUCUUCUCUUUUUCUAAUGUCCUGGUUAUCUCAAGUCCAAGAGCAGUCUCCAGUAAUGCUAGGUUAUCGCACAUGAUUUGAAAAACAGUUCUAGCACCUGCAGAAUUCAAGAUGACUGUAAAAAUCAUAAAUGUCUAUAAGUACCGAAAGGACAGUGAAAAGAGGACAGAACAAAGCUCUUUUCUGUGGUAUCCAGUGCCAUGACGAGAGGCAAUGGACACAAACUGGAUCAUGGGAGGUUCUGUCUGAGAACUGGGAGCACUUAAGUGUUGGGUGGGUGACUGAGCCCUGGAACAAGUUACCCUGGCUGUGAAGCUCCUCCUUGGCUAAUAUCUGAAAGCUGCCUGGAUGUAGUGCUGGGCGUCCAGCUCUGGGUGUCCUGGCUGGAGCAGAGGUUGAACCAGGUGGAUUCAGAGGUCCUUUCUAAGCCAAAAAAAAAAAAGCUGCUUUUAUGUCUUAGGACAAAAACCUUGUCGGGAUAGAGGGUUGCUUAUUUCCCUUGCCGAGCUCUGCUGUUGGAAGGGACAGAUUGACUAUUUCCAUCAAGAACUGUGGAGUUCAUACCAGUUCCCAUGCCCUAGCAAGCCACACUCACCUAUAUAACCAUUUGCUAUUGAAAUUUGUUAAUUUUUCAAGAAAGAGAGGAAAGCUGGUGACGUUAUGAGAUCAAUCAGUCUAUAGAUGUAUCUACCCUUUUAUGUUGGCGGUGGUUUUUUCUUUCUGUGAACAAUAUAGUCCAGCCAGCUGCUGGCAACUUGCUCUUCUAGGAGUGCUAACCACUAAGUUUUUCCCUUGCCAGGGUGAGCAGCAUGCCUGCUAGCAGUAUUUUCCAUUUUGCAGGUGUUAACUACCCUUUACCUCUCACAUUGCUCAGUUGGUUAGCAGUUUUGCAAGACCUGAUGUACAUCCUGUGUGCCAGAAAGCUCCUCCUUUUUGCCUCACUGCUCUUAAAAUAAAAUUGCCUUCCCAUCACCCCUCAGCUCCCAGAAGGACAGGGUGUGUGACGGCACUGAGGCCAGCAGGCACGGGUGCUGGGGCGGGUGAGCUGGGUGGGAUGCGCGGGGCUGUGGGCCCAUUACUGCGAGGUCAGCGUGCCUGUCAGGCUGGGGCUGUGCCUGCAGGUUUCGGGCUCCCUGUCACUUCCAAUGACUUCCUUUUCAGCUCUCUCUCUGGCUGAGGAGGAUGGCCUGCAGGUGGCCCAGUAGCUAGCUGUCUCCGGAGCUGCCGGGGAGCUGCGUGCGUGUGUGACCUGAAUUGCAGCGCCUGGGCUGAAGGCCCUCGUUUACAUGCAGCGUGCGUAAGCAAGAGGCACAGAGCAGCCCUGCUGAUAUGGCUGUUGUAUAGCAGUUAUUGCUUCAACACAUUUAGACACAGCACCUCUGUAAUUUGUCUCGACGUGAUAUCAUCUUUUGUCUCAGCAAACUGACCCUUUUAUCUGUCUUAGUUCUGCUUUCUUUAGCUUUCCCAGUUUCUUGCCAGCAGUGACAAUGGACAACGGCAAAGGAGGAAAAAAUAGAAUAUUCAGAUGGCGACAGCAGAAGUAAUAACUGACUUCAAAGUUAUUCACAGUUUUAAGGUGUUUUUGGAUUUUUUUUUUGUUGUUAUUUUGCUUUUAAUUGAAGCAUGGGUAGCAUGCAUGAGAAAUGCUUGUGCUACGUGACAGUUCUUGUUCAGCUAUUUGAAAACUGCUGUGAAUCUCACCUCUGAAAUGACAUGUAAAGAGUACAUUGCAGCUCCUUCUUAAAGCAGUACUUGAAGUACUAUUAAACAAUUAAAAUGAGGUAUUAGAGUAGAUAUUGUUUUAAAUUGUCCUAAAUGCAUUUGUGAGAUAACUGUUCCUUUGUACUCGUAGAUAAAAUACUGGGACUGAUGGAGGUUUUGUCUCCCGAAAAUGAAUUUUCUGUCUCCUGCUCAUGUCCUCUUCCUACUCUUCUCCAACAGAGAAGUCAUUGGAAAGUGGUAGUGAGUGACUCUUGUGCCGAGGAAUUUCACUUUUGUUGUAUGGACAGCUUAUUUUGACCAGGGAAAUGCAAAUAAUGCAAAAUGAGAUGACCAUGGUUAUCUCUACAUUUCUAUCCUGUUGACCCCGAGACAUUAUAUGAGGAAUGAGAGGAGUUCAGUAAGCCAGCAGCAAGCAGGCUUUCACCUACUGAAAAGUUCUUUCAACUACUGAAAAGUUCUCUUGAACAGCUAUAUCAUGUAAUACAGAGACAUAGAUAUGUGAAAUGGAGAAUUAAUAGUACCUCUGAUAUAAAAUACAUAACAGUAAUGAUAAUGUGAAUAUAGAAAAGAAGAAUGUGCAUAGAAGAUAGGAAAAUACCUAAAAGCAAGAAUAAAAAUAAUUCGAAGUAUCUCAGAAAGGAAUCCCUACCUUAGUCACCUUACCUGUGUUUGGUGACUAAGUUUCAAAAACAGAUUGAACACAGAGGAAGCCCCUUUUUUGUUAUUUUAGUCAAUAAACAGGACUUUUCAGUCUGAACAUAUAAAUGGAUAUAAACAAUAGACGUCUCGGCAGAGCAAAGGCAAACAUUAUCUUUAUUGGCUACUUGCCAGUCAAGCUGCUGCUUUCCCCAAAGAAAGUCCUAUAUCUCUGUUUUACACCUCUGACAUUUCCUAAUCCUAUAACUUUCACUUAGCUUAAUGCUAAAUUGACCUAAACUGCCUGUAAUAGUAACUCACAUAUGCUAAACUGCUAUUCAUAUUCUUACCCUAUUAUAUCUCUCAUGUUUAUCAUAUUUGGCUUCCUAUAUUAUUGUAAAUUAAAUACUAUGCCUAGACCCACUAAAAGGGUUAGGAUUAAAUGAUAGGUCUAUGCUGUUCUAUAAAGAUUUUAGGAUUUAGGAUGGAGAAUGAUUCUGAAUAAUAAUAAUAGUAUUGCAGGUUUUACCACUUCUUUGCUUAGUUUUCUUUUUUUAUUUAUUUUUUAUUUAUUUAUUUAUUUUUCUCUGUAAAUUGGUAGUUUGCUAAUGUAUUUUUAAAAAUGGUACCAAGGGCUCCUGUGGCACAUUCUUUCUCCCUUUUUACUGAGUGUUUAUGAGACAAGUCAGAACAGUUAUCAGCAGUUUUCAAUAGUAUCGAGGGUAUUGUUUUGAAUAUUUUCAAUGGGCUUUUUUUUCUUUCAACCAUUCUCCAAUAAAGUAGGGACUGAAAGUAAUAUGAAAAUAGAUCAAAUAAGCAGGAUUUCUGUAACAGAAAGUGUUAUGAUUAUUAUAUCACAUUUGAAACUAUUAAGGGGUAAUAUUUACAAAUAUUCAUUUAAGGGGCUUGAGGGAGAGCCUUAGUCUCUAUCCGUUUAUUUCCAUUGUAUCAAAGGAAUUUGAAUUUUCAUAGUUAAUUUUAAGCAGAGUUUUUCAUCCUAAUUUCCAAUCAAGGGUUGAAAUUCUGAUUGUCUCUGGGCAAUACUGUUCUGGGGCAUGUGAUUGUAAGAGUCCAAAGCUAAAGUGCUGUGCAAAACGUAGAGAAAAGACAUCAACUAGUACAAAACCAUUAGUUCCUAUCCCCCAUUCUUUUUAUUUUUUUUUAAUAGGUAUAAAUGUGACUAAGUUUAGUGCAUGCUGAUUUUCGUGUAUGUAGGAAGCUGAGGCUGAUGGAGGAGAAUAUGGUGUUUUGGGAUGAGACAGCCUGCCUGAGCAGCAGAAGCAAGUGGGUCACGGGCAGGCAGAGUUCAGUAAACAACAGCAUAUGUGCCUCGCAGUGCUUCUUGCUGUUCCCUCAAGCAGAGUCUGGCUAGCCAACCUUCCCAUCUCGGGAGUGAGCUCUUCUGACCUUUAUCAGAGCAGAAAGCUGCUGACAUCGGGGACCUCAGGGCUGCAGAGGUACCCUUCCUCGCCUACUUCUGGCACAGUUAACAGCAGGAAGUGAUGGGGACAACGUGUGUCACUAUGGCCUGCGUUGUGUGGGAAGAUGGGAAAGGAGUGCUUUCCCCUUAUCUCCAGAUCUGCUUGGUGACUUUUGGAUGAAUAUUUUAUAGCACUGACUCUCCCAGGGGAAGUCCAGCAGCCUGCUGGGGAGGAGUGAAGGUGCUUAUAUUGCCAGUUCUCAGACUUCUGUUCUGACAGUGACAAGCAUUUCCAUAACCCUCUUGUGGCUACCUCACAGAAACAUCUAAGAUUAACAUAUAAAGCUGUUCUCUGCCACCAUGUAUAAUAGCACAUGUACAUAUAAACAUUUGCAAUGUGCAUGAGGUCAUGGUGGAGAUGAUUUCAUGAACCAACUCCCAGGGGUAAGAUACAUGAUGAAUACAUUUUUUUUUUUCUGUAACCAUGAUUUUUUAAAGAAGUAUGUGAGUAUAUUCAUAAGUACAGAGUUAAACCUGAUAUGACCUUUUAUGGACAUAUUUAGAUCAUCUAAAUAUUCAUCUAAUCAUUUAUGACUGCCUCAUUUUUUUCUUAAUUCAGUUAUGAAUAAAUGUGGAUUUUCAAAGGCAGAGAAAUGAUUCUUCAGUUCUCUAAACAACAGAAGCCUGGAAAAUUCAGCCAAAAAUUCUCACAUCUAUCCUAAAAGUAGGGCAUAUCUCUGAGGUAGAUACCUUAUUCAAAAUUUUCAAGUGGUACAGAGCCCUCUUGUCCCAUGGUUGCUUUGGCUGUUAUAAGGGGGACUAACAUUUCCAGUCUGGCAUUAUCUAUUUGCCCCCUAGAUGAUCUUGUGCCAAAUGUACUAAGUAAUCUUUCCCCACUCUCUCUCAGGUUUCAGUCAAAUCUCUGUGAGCCAGGUAUAAACCGGUUUAAUUUAACAGGCACAAGUGUUUUAGCUGAAAUGGAACUAAUGGGUCAAAAUCCUGGGUGCAGCUCAGCUUUAACAAAGUAGAUCCCUAGGCUUGCCAUGCUGAUGGCUUUGCAGUCGGCUGGUGAAAGCCAGGAGAACUCAGACUUGUGUCCUCUGGGGAUGGCAAUGCCUGAUGCCCUUUGGGGCUGCCUGCCUUUGGUUGCCCCAUCCGGGAAGGAAGGGUUUUCACCAGAGAUUGAGGGGCACCUUGUGUCCUCCCCAGGGCCUGGACAAGGCUUAGGCAGGAGACGUAUUGUUACAGCUGACAUACUGUAACACAUUAGCUGCCUUAAUUCGAUUUCUGAACUGUCCUAAAGCCCCCCCGGGAAAAGGUAUGUUUUUAACUAUGCUAUAAUCUGUUGGUAGACAUGUGGAUUGUAAUUUAAUACCCAUCAAUUGCCUGGUGUUAGGUUCCUCAGUUGCAAUUACUUAGACUGGAUGAAAUGUGUCAAAAUGAAUAAUGUCCUGUCUAUAUGGAGAUUAAAAAGUGUUAAAAACAUAUUUUAUCUUGGCAAGGUAAGGGUUACAUUUAAUUUAUAAAAUAUUUUGCUUUAACAAAGUCUGUGCAUAGAGGAGACCCAUGCACAGGAGUUCCUUGCUAAUACAGACAGGAGAGCAUCUUUGACAGCGAGAGUUAAAUGUUACUACUGGAAUGGUUUGAGUGCUUUUUAUUCAUAAAAAAUAGCAACAUGUAAAAUGAAAUAAAACCUCCAAGUGAAUGAAUGACUGCUAAGAAUAAGACCUUAUGAACUGUGGUUUUUUAUGGUUCAGUCCCCAACUAUUUUUAAUUUCCUCCGUCCUGGAGAUCAUGUCCCCAUCACAGGGCUGGCAGAAGCGAUUGCAUGUCCACACUUCAGCUGCUGCAGGCAAAGUCUCGUGGCAUAACCCUGAUUCUUCUUCACUCCUCGUGCGAGCAUGGCUGUUGGUGCUGGGCACCGACACGUAUUCCUUUUCUGCUUGCUUUGCCACAGGAGGGGUAACCUCUGCAAAAAGGUGAAACACACAGUUGGGUAAUAGCUGCAGGAGCCACUAGAGUUCAUCUGGUGAAACAUUUCUUUCUUGCCUUCUAAAAAGGGUUUUCUGCUAGAAAAGGAGGAUUUUUUUUAAGCUACAUAUUUGGAUUAAGUAUAUAUCCUGAAAAAAAAAGCCAACAAAAAAACACAACAACAACAAAAAUAUCACCUCCCUCAAAAUAAUUAACAAAAUGUAAGCCUCAGAAAUGGAAUAAUUCCUCUCUGUCUCCACCUCUACAUGGAGUCAAAUGUAAAUGCCCUAUGCAACUUGAACACAAUCAAUCAACAUCAUCCUUAGGUAUCAUGAUCAGUGUUCAGGGAUCCCUCUUCUACAUUUUUUAUAAAAAAUACAGAGAAGUGUGAUUUAAUUCAUGGCUCUACCUAGCAUUUUUCUUCAAACAUUAUUUAAUGCUUCAUUCUGAUAUGUGAAAGAACUCAGCUUCAGUUUAGAGCACUAUUAUUCUGGCCGUUAUACAUGAACUAUGGCAGAAGCUUCUUUUAUCCGCUGUUAUUCCCUCUGAUGCUCUCUGCCUCUUUUCUUUCCCUCAGCAAUGUUCCGCUUCACUCCUGGAAGCCCUUCUCCAGAUCCCUGAGCUUUCCUGGUUUAGCUGCUAUAUUUCUCCUACACUCUUGAAUCCUAGUGAUGUGUGGUCCUUAAAAUUCAACGCAUACCCUGUGUGGUAUCUCUCACCUUAGGUCGAAUCUUACUCCUCUCUUGCAGGGAAUACCUGAGGAGGAGGAGUGCAAUCUAACAAGGCAGCCUUCUUAAUUCCUACUUCUGUGAUCCCAACCUACUCAUCUCUCCUGACGCUGAGUUGUAUUGGCUUGUGGCCUGCUGACAAGCAGGCUCUGUGCAGCACAGUGCUGGGAUGCACCAAGCAGCUCCCCCUGGGCAGCCCAGCAGUGCUGGCAAUGGCAGUGCUGCUGCAAUCUUACUUUCCUCAGGCUGGGGGAAGAAAUGAGGCAUUAGGACACAUGGUGGGAGGAAGGGGAGCUGUUUGCUUUCUGAUAGACGUGAUAUGCUUGCAGAAUAUUUAUAAAGCUUUAUUUGGGGCUUUCUUUUGUCAUUUUGAUAAUAACUGAACAUCUGUAUAUUUUUUUCUUCCAAUUCAUAUGCAGAUACGCAUGCAGCAGAGAGGCUGCUAAAAUCCCAGAAACUGGAGGCCAUGCAGUUUUGCCGUUUCAUUCUUUGCCAGCUCAAGAUGUUUGUUAAUGAUGUCAGCACUCUGACAUUUUUUUCUUUCCAGGAUGCUGAUUUACAAUUUAACAUAUGAGCAGGGAUGUUGCAGGCAGUGGAGAGAGGGUGGAGAGAAAGGAGUUUCCCACCUCAAGGGUGCAGUUUGCCCUCUGUGGGGCUGGACGUCUCACUCCUCUUCUUAAAAUUAAUACACUUUUCAGAAGUCUAAAAAUCAAAGGGCUACUGAAUGAACUAAAGGCUAUUAAUUUUUCUCAGUUUUUAAUUAGGUGAAGUUGCACUUUAGCCUUUUCCAGCCUGUGAGACUUUUGACAGUUUCCUUUGCUUAUCUUUUGAUCUAAAUGGCAAGUGUCUGGUGUCACUGCUCCCAGCUAGAACGAGAAUGACUUCUGGCAGUAAUCCUCAUGUCCCCAAGGACCUGCAACAUUUUCAUGUCAUUGUCCUCAUCAUGGGAAUAUUGUACUGAUGGCACAGAUCUUCCCUUGAGUCAGCGCUGUGGUUGGCACUGCUUGAUACAAGAGAAGUUAUCGCAGACACUGGAUGGAAUCACUUAAAGGGAAAAUUUCUUCUUUAAUCCCAUCAGCCUGAAGUGAUUCUGCCCAUACCUCUCUUCAGCUGUGUCCCUCAUGGUCCACAGUAUGGGAAGCCACCCCUUCUGCUCCCUAGGCUUGUGCUCCCCAUCUCCUUCCAAAGAAAAAUGAGGUAAAUAACGUUAGAUGGCAGUUUUGGGAUGGUGAGUUCCACCUGUAUGUCUGUGGUGUGUGGGAGUGUGGAGAUUAAAUGUUUUUAUUAUCACUUUUUCCUUUACUUUCAGCCUAGGUUGUCUGUUGCCAUGUGCCUCUCUGCUGUCAGAGUCACAUAGACCUCUUGUCUUGCCACUUGUCUCAGAAUGCUUCCCACUUAACUAGAUUUUCCCUUUACUGAACUCUACUUAAUUCCUAUAUUUUCACACAGGUUAUUUCUAGCAUCUUCCUACACGGUUUUCCUGGUGAAGAAUAAAGAUAACAUUGUGCCAUAACUUUUGCAGUCCCAAUUUACCCAGCCGUUCAUGGACGUUUUGCAUCAGGAGAGGCUGAGAUAAUCUGCUGUGUUACUAUGUUUGCAAUUAAUUCCCCACGACUGAUGUUCUUUCUGGUUUGUAGUGCCACACAUUUGUCAGUGUUAGAUUUUAUCUGCCACUGUGCUUCCCAUUUGUCUACUGGUGGGAUACUUUACAGGCACUUCCAACCUCUAUUAUCCUCAUAGCUUUGUGUCAAAUGCAAAUAUUAUUGUUAAUUGCUAUUUGCAUUACAACAGCGAUUACAUCUUGCCGUUCUUUAAUUCCUGAUUUAUUUAUGAAUAUUUUCAACACUGACAGCAUAGAGGCUUUGCUAAGGUGAACAUUGACUCUUUGUUUGUUACUUUGGCAGUGUCUAGUAUGUAACAGUUCUUUGCCACCUGCCCAAGGACUACCCAAUUUUCUUAUUAGUCUAUGAGGGUUUUGUCAAAGGCUUUAAAUUCCCAGUACAAGGUGAGAGUCUGCACUACAAGAAUUGGAUCUAUGUAGACAUGAUUUAUCUUACUUUAGCUAGCCUAGUUCAUUUCAUCAUAUAUCAUUAAUGGAGGUGGUUGUUAAGUUACAUUUGCUCAGCAUCUGCUCCUUGGUACUUUAGUCUACAAAACCUUGCUGCCUUCGUUAGCUAUGAAAAGGGUAACAAGUGUCCGUACAUAUCUGCACUUGCAUAUUAUUUGAGAUUACUAUUCUGGGCUAAAACCUCAUGUGGACUUGCUUAGCAUUCAAGAAUAAUUAUACCGAAGUAAGUAUUAUGGAACAGACUAUAAAGCACUUUUAUCCCAAGAGCUUUUCUACAUGAGAAAGUCAUAUAGGUAGGACAAAAAUUUAAAAUUAGUUUAUUCUUUGGGCACUGGGCUGCCUCCGAUCACUUCAGUUUGCCACUUGGGAAAUGAUUUUCAAGUGAUGUGAAGAGGUUUAAAAUACUCAUAUUCCAGGUAGCUGUGCCCACAAGGGAGAGCAGGACCAGAAGAGCUAGCAGUUACCAGGAUCCAUAUAUUUAACUAUACUGUCACUGAAAAAAAAAAAAAAUCACGUAAGGACAAAUCUUAUAUUUCAAGAUACAAAACCAGCCAGUUGACCAACCAGCAAAAUAAAUACUUAAGACAUCUUGUGUCUAGGCUUGUAUUUCUAACUGGUAUUUAAAACAAUCUGAUAAGGAAAAAGGAAGUUUGAGAACAGAAUCUCCAAAUGUAUUAAAAGCAGCAUCAUGCCAGUAAAAAAUCUGACUUCAUGUUUAGGUGAAUAUCUAACAAUUCUUAUGAUAAUUGUAGUUUGCUUAUGGACUACAGAUAAUAUUUUAUGGCUUUUCUACAUUACUACUGCCAGUUUCCUACAACUAAGUGAAUACAGUGUGAGAACACAAAAAGUAUGUAUUCUAUAUUUGACUGAGCUGAUUUAGAUUUCAGGUCUCCAGAAAGAGACAGAAAUUCUAGAUGUUGCAUGUCUGGGCCGAGACCAUGUGUUUCAUUUGAAAUUCACUGAUGUGCUUUGAAUAUUUUAGGGGUAUUUCAGCAUAUUUCUGUGAUAUUUUCAGAAGCAGUGUGCCAUGGUGAGACCAUUUAUACCAUUCUGCCCAUAAAGAUGCAGUGCUACCGUAACUGUGAGCUUUCUGUACUUUGCAAAGGGAAAGCCAACAGCAAAAUCUGGGGAUGUGCCUUGCAAUAGCUUCAUGAAACUCAAGGAAAUUGAAUUUAAACUUCUGUGAAUGACUUCCCCAAAGAAUAUCUGGGCUUUCUUCAAGCCUUGACAGUGCAGCUUCAACAAGCACUGUUGGUGGCACUAUCCAGAUGUCCAACUUCUCUAAGGAGUUUCUAUGCUUUUCUGAGAAUAAUGAAAAGAUAAUAAAUUGUCGGAAUUUAUCUGUAAGUGUAUGUAUACUCAUGCAUAUGUACACUCUGUCACAAUGUUUGUUGCUACCUCUAUUCCUCCAGUGAUUAUUCUAAUUCAAUUUGUAAAGCUUAUUUUGUUUACAUAUUCUUUACAUCGAUGAGUACGUACCUUCUCGGGAAAUUGUGUCUUUCUUAUCCAUGAGCUCUUUCCAUGCUUAGAUUUUAAAGUCUCUUCAAGUUGUUAAAUGUGUGAUACUAAUACUAUUUUGCACACAACGUUGCAAAUCAACCUUUCCAAAACAUUAAAAUGCACUAAAACUUGACAAGUCUUCAAUCAUAGCUUGGCCACAGCUUGCAAGACUGAGUGACUACAUAGAAAAUUCUCAAAUUAUAAAACUUUAUUCCAACCAAAUUAUAUUUUACUAUACAAAAAGUCUUGUAAACACACAGUUAAGGGAAAAAUGAAAUAGAUUACAUUAAUUGCUUUUGACAAAAGCACCCAAAUAAAUUGAAUUUAUUGCAAUUGUUGACAUAAGAAAAGAACUUUUACUGUGACAAUUUCCUUAAUGUUUCCUUAGAAGCCACUUGCAGAAUAUAGUGACUGCAGACAUGCUUUUAUGGAUGGUUUAGUUCAAAUCAUUGUUACGAGGGCUGCUCCGAAAGUAAUGCCUCCUGUGUUAUUACGUUGGCCCAGAAAAUCAAAGACAGAUAUGGGUGGUAUAGCAGUAGGGGUCGAACCUUCUCACCAGUAUUCUGUUACUUUUUGUUGCCAUGUGACAAAUGGCAGCAGCAGGACAGUCUGACACAAUGGUGUCUAGCAUGAAAGUGUGUAUGAAACAAAGAUGUGGAAUUGGACUCCUCUGUGGAAAAAAAACGGCACCAUAGGGGAACUGUUAGUUUGUGGCUUGAACUGGUGAAGUGUUGUGGCUUGCCUAGGAAGAACAGGUGAAUUGUUUGCACCUGUACUCCCCAUGUGACCAGAGGGGGUGGACCCAGGGCGGGGCGGGGGGGGGGGAGGAGAACCUCCCUGGAAUCAUAUAAGGGCCAGCCACUACAAGAAGCUGAAUGACAACUGAGAACUUUCCUCUUCUAUUGAUUUCACUGGAGACUGGACAGCAGUCGCUGUGUUUUGAAGUAGUAGGAUGGAUUACCUGGAAGAAAGAGGCUGCUAAAUGCAAAGGAGAAGGAGAGAAAUGCCUCCUGGGCGUAUGUGGAAGGUCAUGGGCAUCUGGUAAUAGGAAAUACUCUCUGGGAUCUACAGAAUAACAGAACUGGGAGAAAACCUAAUUGGCAGUGCAUCAGUUCUAACACAUGUAAGAGAAAGAAAAAGAGAAGAAAGCACAAACAGCUUGGCUCUUUGGGAAAAAAAAAUGUCGCUGAAAGCAAUUUUUCCCCCUCUUUGUUUACUGGUGAAGGUGAAGCAGUAACUCAACAUGCAGUUGAUAUGGGGAUGGUGUGCAGCUGGUAUAAAUGGGAAGCAUUCUGAAUAAUCUGAAUCUUUUGAGGACCUUCACCUUGGAAAGGCAGAUGAUACAGGAGCAGUAGGAUGAUGUACAAAGUAGACACACGAGGUGAAACAGAAAGAAGUCUUCUGUGAAAUGAUCGGGAAAGCAGGCAAGAGCCAUCACUGCUGUAACUAAUAUUAGCUGCAGAUAUUAAAAUUAUGCUUUCAUCAGGAGAAGUACAUUCAGUUACAACGAGGAUGAAUUUCCCUUCACUUCUAAUUAAGCAAAUAAACUAAAAUAGAAAGGAACAUCCUGUCACAUCUCAGUGCACAUAGGAAGCAAGGUGAACAAGACCUGGCCUCAUGGCUUGGCUUCUUCCCAUAAUGUUGACCAAUGAAGCACGUGUCCAUGAAAAGUUCAAGUCCCAAACAAGCCCUCUCAUUAGAAGAUCUGAAAAGGACAAGACUUCACGCUAAGGGCCAUUAACAAGGGAGCUGCCAUCACAGAUAAUUUGCCAUGCAUACACAGGUGCCCAUCAUGGUUCCAUAACCUGCUUGAUAGUUCUCAAUGGUUUUAACUGCUGAUGUUCUGUCUAGCUUUCUGGAUAUUCCUUUCUUUUCCAGCCUCUGCCACCUGAGUGCAUUUCAACUUACAAUCCAACUACCUAUCUCCAUCUACCACAUACAGCGUGCAGAACAACUGUUGUAGUGUAGAUGCAAGCAGAAUGAUUUCUGCCAGGAAAUAAUAAACAGAAGGAAAAGACAUACUGCAGAGAACAGAAAAAUGAGAGGUGAAGCAGAAGAUCAGAGUGUCCUGCUCUUCCAGUGAGCUGGACAGUGCAGAGACCUUGCCACUCUCCAAGGGAGGGUUUAUCCCAUUCCCAACUACUACAGCAAUGGCUGCCACCUCAGAAAUGCUUAUACUUCCCUAAAACUAGGCAAGAAGUCUGAUUCUUCAUGACUGUGAUGUAGUUUACUAAGUAUGGGAGAGUCAUAGCUAUUUCAUAGAAUCAUACAAUCAUAGAGUUACCAAGGUUGGAAAAGACCUCCAAGAUCAUCCAGUCCAACCAUCCACAUACCACCAGUACAUUUACCCACUAAACCAUUUCCUUUAGUAUAACACAUAAAUGUUUCUUAAGCACCUAAGGGAAUGUGACUCAACCAUCUUCCCAGACAGCCUGUUCCAAUUCCUGACUACUCUUUCAGAGAAGAAUUUUUUCCUAAUAUCCAACCCGAACCUCGCCUGACACAGCUUCAGCAAUUUACUAUCUUGUUUAAGCAGACAACAUGGUCCAAAAUGACUAGCUUGUUUGAACUUCUCCAGUGAUAUCACUGGUAAGCAUUCUUCCUCUUCUUUACAGGCCCAUUUUGUGGACUCUAUAGGUAUUAAAAUCUACUUUAUAAAUAAGUUUAUUACAAAAAGAAUUGCAAAAUAAGCUAUGUUGAUUGGUAUGCUCCAUAUAGUUUUUCCUUUUCCACCAACAGAGGGGGGGAAAAUCUUUCCCCUCUGGAGCUUCUGGCCAUAAGACUGAGCUAUGCAAGACCAGCAACUUUGCUGAGGGCUUUGAAUGUGUAUGGGCAGGAGGUCAUCUAGGUCCAGGAUCGCAAUCUUUAGAAAAUUAUGGUACAGUAUCAGCCAGCACAGACUGUGUGAUAUUAAAUCAAAACAACUGAUGUAUUUUGGGCUGAAUGAAUUUUGAAGCAAUGAUGACAUGUGGAUCAAAAUUUUGCAAUGUGCUGCACUCCCUUAAGGACUAGUGAUGAGAUCUGUUAAUUGCAUUAUAUUAUCUAGUGGUAACUGUACCAUAAAUGCAUGUCAGCAUCAUUCCUGACAGGGCUGGCUUGAGGGGUUUUCACUGCCUUAGGCAAACUGGAAAGGGUGUGCUACUCUUAGCCGCAUUUACUUCCACUGUAAACAGUCAAAACAGACAGUUGUAUGUAGGUCCCAAUUUUAAAUUAUACACCAGUGACUUAUUUAAGUAAUUAGAGCUAUAUUAACCACCCCAACAGCCAAAAAAUGUUUUGUGAAGAGGAGUCUUCAUGAGAGUAAUUGCUUUUCCUUCCUGAUCCCUCAUAGACUAUGAAGUGCUUCUGAAUUUGUACUGCUUAGCAAGUGCUUGGCAAAUAUAAAAAGAGCAAGGCUGGAAACAACAAGUAUUUGUUGCCCAAGGCCAUACACCCUCUGUGGCAUCAAACCCUGUCUGACCUACAGGAAAAUUCCUAGAUGAGUUAAUACUGGAUGUGCUAGUGCUCUCCCUCCCAAAUUCUCCUCUUUUUCAUUUUGUAUCUUACAUUACUCUCAAGUUACUAUUUGGCCUUAGCAAAUUCAUAGAAUCAUAGAACUGUUUGAAUUGGAAGGGACUUUUAAAGAUCAUCCAGUCCAACUCUCCUGCAUUGAACAGGGACAUCAACAGCUAGAUCAGGUUGCUCAGAGCCCUGUCCAGCCCAACCUUGGGUGUAUCCAGGAACGGGACAUCCAUCACCUCUCUGGACAACCUGUGCCAGUGCCUCACUACUCUUAUCAUAAAAAAGUUUUUCCUUGUAUCAGUCUAAAUCUUCUCUUCUUUUAAUUUAAAACUAUUUUUCCUUGUUAUGUCAUAAUUUACCUUGCUAAAGAUCUGUCCCCUUCUUAUAGCCUCCCUUUAGAUACUGAAAGGCCGCUAUCACAUUCCCCUGGAGCCUUCUCUUCUCAAGCUGAACAGCCCCAGCUCUUUCAGCCUGUCCUCAUAGGUGAUGUGUUCCAUCCCUUGGAUCAUUUCUGUAGCUUUGUUGAACCUCAUGAGGUUCAACUGGGCACACUGCUCAAGCCUGUCUAUGUCUUUCUGGAUGGCAACCCGUCCCUCAGGCAUGUUGACUGCACCCCACAGCUUGGUGUCAUCUGCAAACUCACUGAGGGUGCACUUGAUGAUCCCACUGUCAAUGUCAUUGAUGAAGAUAUUUAACAGUAGUGGUCCCAGUACUGACCCCUGAGGGACACCGCUCAUCACUGAUCUCUAGGCAGACUCUGAGCUAUUGACCACCACUCUUUGGGUGUGAUCUCACAACCAAUUCCUCAUCCAUCAGACAGUCCACCUAUCACAUCCAUAUCUUUCCAAUUUGGAGAGUAGGAUUUUGUGGAGGGCUAUGUCAAAUGGCUCUACAGUCGUCCAGGUAGAUGACAUCAGUGGCUCCUCCCUUGUCCACUGAUCCAGUUACACCAUCAUAGAUGGCCACUAAGUUGGUCAGGCAGGACUUUUCCUUGGUGAAGCCAUGUCAGUUGUACUGUAUCACCGCCUUCUCUUCCACGUGUCUUAGUAUAGCUUCCACGAGGAAGAAAAAAAGAGUGUUCUCUGCUAUAUCUUUGUAGGAAUUAGAUUAUUUAAUACAAAAUACCUCCCUCUCCCCAGUAAUUUCUAGUCUGUUUUUCCCUCUGAAGACUUUAAAGUCAAAAUAUCUAAAUUUAUUGUGAAUUGGAAAGUUGUAACAGACAAAUUGUAAAUAAUGCACUACCUUCUGUAGCAUUUUAAUUGAAAUUAAUUAUUUCUGCAGUCUUGGGUUGAAAUAUUUCAUCUCAGUGCACUGAAUCAAUUUGAAAUGUUUAGUAUUCAGUUGAUGAACAGUAACUCUUCAGUUUCCAAAUAAAAACUUUUAGGGCAUUGUAAUUUGCUUGUCUUAUUUUACCUUGCCUUAUGGGAAGGGCUAAUUGACAGUAGUAUGUUUAUCAUCAGUCUUGUAAACGACAUGACUCAGGAUAUCCUACAUGACUUGGUCAUAUGGAGAGAUGCACAGCAUUACUGAAUAUAUUGCCAGUCAAGGAAGUCUGUGUGAAAUCACGGAGCUAUGUAGCAUCUGCAUCACAGUUCCAGUGGGACUCCCACGAGGUGCUGAGCAGAUGCAACUUGACAUCAGAAUGAUUCAAAUCAAACAUUUCUGCUCAGUAAACCAAAGCAUUUUGAUUUGGUGAGACCACCCUGGAACAAACAACUUUGUUUUUAUUUUCUGGGUUCUGGCAGAAUCAUUUGUUCCUACACAGCUAGCAUAAAUA